rnacentral:rRNA from 1 species
UACGUAGGGUGCAGGCGUUAAUCGGAAUUACUGGGCGUAAAGCGUGCGCAGGCGGUUUGCUAAGACAGGUGUGAAAUCCCCAGGCUUAACCUGGGAACUGCAUCCGAUACUGGAUGGCUUGAAUCCGGGAGAGGGAUGCAGAAUUCCAGGUGUAGCGGUGAAAUGCGUAGAUAUCUGGAGGAAUACCGGUGGCGAAGGCGGCAUCCUGGACCGGCAUUGACGCUGAUGAGCGAAAGCUAGGGGAGCAAACGGG